UGGGGAAUAUUGCGCAAUGGAGGGAACUCUGAUGCAGCGACGCCGCGUGAACGAAGAAGGCUUUCGAGUCGUAAAGUUCUUUUAUAUGGGAAGAUAAUGACGGUACCAUAAGAAAAAGCCCCGGCUAACUACGUGCCAGCAGCCGCGGUAAUACGUAGGGGGCUAGCGUUGUCCGGAAUCACUGGGCGUAAAGGGUUCGCAGGCGGAAAUGCAAGUCAGGUGUAAAAGGCAGUAGCUUAACUACUGUAAGCAUUUGAAACUGCAUAUCUUGAGAAGAGUAGAGGUAAGUGGAAUUUUUAGUGUAGCGGUGAAAUGCGUAGAUAUUAAAAAGAAUACCGGUGGCGAAGGCGACUUACUGGGCUCAUUCUGACGCUGAGGAACGAAAGCGUGGGUAGCAAGCAGG
rnacentral:rRNA from 1 species